AUGCACGCUGGCGGCGUGCCUAAUACAUGCAAGUUGAGCGAACGGACGAGAAGCUUGCUUCUCUGAUGUUAGCGGCGGACGGGUGAGUAACACGUGGAUAACCUACCUAUAAGACUGGGAUAACUUCGGGAAACCGGAGCUAAUACCGGAUAAUAUUUUGAACCGCAUGGUUCAAAAGUGAAAGACGGUCUUGCUGUCACUUAUAGAUGGAUCCGCGCUGCAUUAGCUAGUUGGUAAGGUAACGGCUUACCAAGGCAACGAUGCAUAGCCGACCUGAGAGGGUGAUCGGCCACACUGGAACUGAGACACGGUCCAGACUCCUACGGGAGGCAGCAGUAGGGAAUCUUCCGCAAUGGGCGAAAGCCUGACGGAGCAACGCCGCGUGAGUGAUGAAGGUCUUCGGAUCGUAAAACUCUGUUAUUAGGGAAGAACAUAUGUGUAAGUAACUGUGCACAUCUUGACGGUACCUAAUCAGAAAGCCACGGCUAACUACGUG
rnacentral:rRNA from 1 species